CACACUCAUUGCUGCUCCCUCCAAGCUAGAGAACCAGAGCUGAGAAGCAGAAACCCUCUCAAGUGGCCUGACCCGUGCUGCAGACAGACAGAGCGGUCAAGGAAGGCCUCAGGACCGGAGGCAGAGAGAGGAAUGGAGUGAGAGAGAUCAAUGCGGGACCCAAGAUGAUUAACUGUGCCAACCUGGGGCACUGGCGCUAGGGAGAUGGUCAGACCGAUGGAUUCCAAGCAAAUGAAGAGCCCGGCGCAUUCAGCAGCCAAGCUCUGAAGUUAAACACAGCGACGGGGCCAGGCGUUUGGUGAGCGAUGAGGGUGAUGAAACAGGACACGUAUAUCUUGGGAAACAACACUGAGAGGCCAGAUCUGGUUCUGAAAAAUGUCUUUGCUCCUUGUCACCUUUCAAAGGCAAAAUCACAGCUCUGGCAAAUACCAAGAAGCAUUCCCAGGUGUGUCUGCAGCCGUGAAAAUGUGACAUGAGUCGCAGUGUCUUCGGAGGAAAUGAAAGACCACAGGACGGGGACAUGGCAUCAUGAAAAAAGACGCUUUGUGAUUUUCAACAUAUGGUGACACUUUUCCUAAUUUAGAGGGGGAAGCUGGGUUUUGAGUUUUCUUUUAUCCCCCCUCUUUGUUAAAAGUAAGGGAAAGAGAUUUAAAGAACAUCUGUGUAUUCAAGUGACAGAAAUAGAAUUAUACACUUUCAAUAAC
rnacentral:lncRNA from 1 species